GAACUAAAGAGUUUGAUCCUGGCUCAGAUUGAACGCUGGCGGUAUGCUUUACACAUGCAAGUCGAACGGCAGCAUAGGUGCUUGCACCUGAUGGCGAGUGGCGAACGGGUGAGUAAUGCAUCGGAACGUGCCCAGUCGUGGGGGAUAACGCAGCGAAAGCUGUGCUAAUACCGCAUACGAUCUAUGGAUGAAAGCGGGGGACCUUCGGGCCUCGCGCGAUUGGAGCGGCCGAUGUUAGAUUAGGUAGUUGGUGAGGUAAAGGCUCACCAAGCCUACGAUCUAUAGCUGGUCUGAGAGGACGACCAGCCACACUGGAACUGAGACACGGUCCAGACUCCUACGGG
rnacentral:rRNA from 1 species